rnacentral:lncRNA from 1 species
AGAGAUGUCAAUUGGACACACUGUCCAUUGGUUACCGAUGUCCAAGCCCAUUUGGACUAACCAAAUUAGACCAAUAAAUAAAGCUGUCCAGUUGGUCGAAACCCAAUAAACUCCAAAUCCAAUGGGCUUAAACCAAAUGGACAUGGGCGGUCCAAUGGGUUUCCAAUGGAAAUCACUCUUUUUCGGCUCUCGUCUCUGCGACUCUCAUCUCUUCCCGUUCUCUCUCGAUGAAGUCGACUCACGGCGACUCUCCGUUCUCUCUCCCCUCAGCGUCUUAAUCCUCGACUCUCUCUCUCUCUCUCGGCGUCUCGAUCCGCCUCUCUCUCUCUCUCGGCGUCUCGAUCAUCUCUCUCUCUUUCUCGCGAGUCGCGACUCUCGAUCCGAUUUGCCUCUCUCGUAUGUCUCUUCUCUCUGUCGCUCUAUGUAUGAACUAAUAUAUGAAUUUUCUAUGCUUUGGAUAUGUAAAACUUAUGAAACUUAAUGUGUAAAACUUGAAAUUUAUGUUUUUUAUGGAUGUUUCACAAAAAAAAAUGUUUUUUAUGGAUUUAGCAUAUUAAAGCAGAAAUUGUAUUUGGGCUUUGUGGAAUGCCCAUUUGGACUUGGGCCAAUUUGGUCUGGACAAUUUGGUCUGGUACAAUUUGGGCUUAAAAAAAUAAUGUCCAUUUGGACUGUUGUGUCCAUUUGGACAACCCAUUUGGGCUUGGGCAGCCCAAUUGACAUCUCUA